UUUAGGCUGUGUGGUGUGUGGCCACUCUGUAGCUGCAGCACACAGGCGUCUCAUUGCAGUGGCUUCUCUUGUUGCGGAGCUCGGGCACGGUAGUUGUGAUACACCAGCUUAGUUGCCCUAAAGCAUGUGGGAUCUUCUGGGAUCAGGGAUAAAACCCUUGUGCCCUGCAUUGACAGGCGGAUUCUUACCACUAGACCACCAGGGAAGUCCCUACAUGGGAGGUUUUGAUAUUCUAUAUUCAGGAAGAAAAGGGGAGCUUAGAAUGCCCUUCUUACCAUUGUUUUUAAAGUCUUUAGUUCUAAAUAAUUCUUAUGUCAAAGUGGCAUAUUUGGGGGUGGAAUAUUCUGUCACCUAUCAUAGACCAUAAAGCUUUUUCAGGGCUUAAAUUAGACAAUGCACAUAAAACUAAUAGAUCAGUGCCCAGCUGAAUAGCACUCAGUAAAUGGUAGUUAACAACUACCAUUUUGCUGUUACUAAUUAUAAUAAAAACAAAUAAUCAUGUGCUAUUGACAGAUACGUGCUCUUCAAAUUAACUUUUUUAAAGUGUGCUUAUAAUGCUGUGUUGUUAAUGACAGUGGUUGGUUGGUUCAUUGCUAGGUUUAUAGUCUGAACCUAAAACGCUUAUUCACAGAAAUGUGCUGUGAUGCUGCUGCAGGAGUUGUGUGUGAUUCUGUUUGUUGGCAGUUGAAGUGCAUUUUGUUACACAAGCCUGUGUCAAGCGGAAAGCAGAGAUUUUCAUUAUUUUGGGAAAGUGAUUUACAAGUGUUUAACAGUUCUUACAGCAGGCUCAGGGGUGUAUUCUCAUUCCCAUAUUAUUUUUUUAAAAUUAUUUCUUGGAGAAAUCUCACGAGAUAUCCUGUUAGUUUCAGGGUGUUGAUGACCCAACAGCAGCUGCUCUAAAUUUUGUUGUCUUUUUUAUAUCAUUCAAGACAAAUGGCUUUCUGAAGCUGUUUAGGGCAUGCAUUCCUAAUCUGCCUAUAAAUCUUGAUGUGCUAGGUACUGGCGCAAUUGCCUAGUUGAUCCCUUGGGAAGUCUGAAGUGAAAGCGUUGAUUAGGUUCUUUUGGGCUGAGAGCCCUAUUCAGCUAUUUAGCUGGCAGGAAAGUCUUCGUUUUUUCAUUAGAGAAACUAGUGGCAGGAGAGUCUUACCUCGAGCCGUUUGUUGCUCUUCGCAUGGUCACAAGCACUGAUUACUGUCUACUCAGAGUGUCUGUUGGUGAGUCAUUCUGGAAGCAAAGGACAGCACUUGAAUCUGUAUUUGUUUCGAAUGUUUUAAAUGGGUAUCUCUGUCAAUACUUAGAUCAAGCUCACGAGGUUUUCUGUGUGUUUGCUGGGAUAAAUCAUUCUGUGAUACACUCCUCGAAUUCAGAGUGGACUAUUCAAUAAUCUGAUUUGAAAAUGUCACAGGAAAUUUUGUGGAUGUUUUCGUAUUGACAAAUGUCAAUUUAAUAGACACAUGCCGUGUACUUUGUACUCAACCUGUGCUGUGGGAACUUGAUGGACUGCAAGAAUUAUGGCCAUAGUAAGUGCCAUGUACUCAAAGGUCCUAUGAAAAAAAGCAUCAGAAAUACAAUGAUAUGAAGGAUGUGGUUUUCUUUGUAAAUAUUAUAUCUGUUUUAUUAUUUAUGGACUAUAAAAGGAAGGUAAGCUCCAUUAACCCAGUGACCUUUAUUUUUUCCCAAGCAGGAUAAUUGCAUUCUAAUGGAAACAUAGGAACAGUGGGGUAUGGUAAAUACAGCUCCCUGUGCAAGCAGGGCAGCUCACAUUAACCUCUGAAAGUGAGUUAUGAGUUUCAGCAUAAAUUUAUAAGCAACUCAAAUUCUUUACCAAACAAAACAGAAAAAUUCUGCCAAUGUGUUAGCAUAGGGAAAAUCUAAUAAUAUUCCUGGUGUUAAUCUGAUAUCUUCUUUAAGUGUAUUCUGUUCUCUUUAAAGUGAUAGUCAUCAGUUUGAUUCAAGACUGAACUUACAGCCUUACAGAUUUUUAUUGUAUUCUUGUACAGAGUACAACAAUAUCAAGAAACAUGCAACUUCCUAAGUUUCUCCCAAGACUUCACUCUCAGCAGGGAGGAAGAAAACACUCGACAAAAAGAAACAGCGUCUGGAGAAUCCUAUGGAUGGAGGAGCCUGGCGGGCUGCAAUCCAUGGUGUCACAAAGAGUCGAACACGACUGAGCGACUUCACUUUCACUUUCAGGGUUAUAUAUGCCAAAGCCUUCGACUGUGUGGAUCACAAUAAACUGUGGAAAAUUCUGAAAGAGAUGGGAAUACCAGACCACCUGACCUGCCUCUUCAGAAACCUGUAUGCAGGUCAGGAAGCAACAGUUAGAACUGGCCAUGGAACAACAGACUCGUUUCAAAUAGGAAAAGCAGUACGUCAAGGCUGUAUAUUGUCACCCUGCUUAUUUAACUUAUAUGCAGAGUACAUCAUGAGAAACGCUGGGCUGGAAGAAGCACAAGCUGAAAUCAAGAUUGCCGGGAGAAAUAUCAAUAACCUCAGAUAUGCAGAUGACACCACCCUUAUGGCAGAGAGUGAAGAGGAACUAAAAAGCCUCUUGAUGAAAGUGAAGGAGGAGAGUGAAAAAAUUGGCUUAAAGCUUAACAUUCAGAAAACUAAGAUCAUGGCAUCUGGUCCCAUCACCUCAUGGGAAUUAGACAGGGAGACAGUGGAAACAGUGUCAGACUUCAUUUUUUGAGGCUCCAAAAUCAUUGCAGAUGGUGACUGCAGCCAUGAAAUUAAAAGACGCUUAUUCCUUGGAAGGCAAGUUAUGACCAACCUGGAUAGCAUAUUAAAAAGCAGAGACAUUACUUUGCCAACAAAGGUCCAUCUGGUCAAGGCUAUGGUUUUUCCAGUGGUCAUGUAUGGAUGUGAGAGUUGGACUGUGAAGAAAGCUGAGUGCCGAAAAAUUGAUGCUUUUGAACUGUGGUGUUGGAGAAGACUCUUGGGAGUCCCUUGGACUGCAAGGAGAUCCAACCAGUCCAUCCCAAAGGAGGGUUUGACAGAAGCACUGAAAAACUCAUAUGAUCUUCAUUUGUGCCUGAUUAAUGAAGGAGAAGAAUGCAUUUUUAUUCCCAAAAUCCUGUUUCUAGCAGAAGCCAGCACUGAAUUCAGGAAAACUGCUUUGGAGCUGGCAUGUGCCUACCCCCAGAGAAGAGGCUAUUAAGGAGCAUCUGAUCAAACAAAGAGCUCAUAUGCAGAUCUGAAAGAGACACGUGCACCCCAAUGUUCAUCGCAGCACUGUUUAUAAUAGCCAGGACAUGGAAGCAACCUAGAUGCCCAUCAGCAGAUGAAUGGAUAAGGAAGCUGUGGUAUAUAUACACCAUGGAAUAUUACUCAGCCGUUAAAAAGAACUCAUUUGAAUCAGUCCUAAUAAGAUGGAUGAAACUGGAACCCAUUAUACAGAGUGAACUCUAAGAAUUUUCAUCCACCAAGAAAGCUGCUCAACUGAGACCAGAGCCUGGAGAGAGCUGUCCUCUGGCGGAGGUGCUGAAGGAGUUAGCAUAAGUUGUUCAGCGAUCAAGGCACCUGAGCAGUGUUCUUAGAAUACAGGAGAACAAAACAGAACAAAGAGCAUGAAGCCAGCAGUGAGCUUCAGGAUCGGGGUUUGGAGCAGCUUCUGUCUGAUGUGCCUGGCUCCCAAGAAGUUCCGCUCCCCUAUCUGUAGGACUGUCUGUGGAGCCUCCAGUGAGCACGGCACGGGGAGAAGGUUCACGCAGCCUUGAUUGCCUGUGAAAAGGGCUGCUGAGUUUCCUUCUUGAAAGCCCUUACUCCUGAAGCUUCAAGUUCUAGUUCUGAAUGUCUCAAGUGAAGCUAUGACAUCUUGAGGGACAAUGGGGACUGUGGAGUAAAAAGUUGCUAAGCUUCUUAUCCAGGUAUAUGAUGACAUUGCAGGUUCAGAAUUGGGAAUGUGGGCUAUAGGCAUCCAUGACAAUUUUGGAUUAGAAUUCAACAUUCGAAUUUCUGGAAACAAAUGAGGUCUGGAAAGAGAGCAGUGCACUGAUAUUGUGAUUUAAAUUUUACAUUCAAAAAUUAAAAUAAUUGUAACUUUUUCAGAAAAGCAUUGCAUGACUGUACUGUUUGCUUCCAUGUAUCCUCCCAGAUUUUUGUCCUUUUCACUGAGUCUUCUACUCGGAGGCAAGCAGAAAAGGUGGAAGUCAACUUUCUCAAUAAAACAUGAUGAACUUGAGUCUUAAGAAGUUUCACGUUCACAAGGAACUGCUGGGCUCUUUUCCAGUUACUUUAAAACAAUAGCAGGGAGAAGACUACCUACCAUUUGUCGUACCCAUGUAUGACUGCUGAUAAUCUCAGUACACAUUCUUGUCUCCUUCUUGUGAGCGUGUGUUUAUGUGUCUGUGUGUACUGUUGACAUCAAGUUAUAUAUGCUGGCCUGAAAACUACUUUCCUUUUUGAAUGAUACAUCAUCUUAUAAAAAUGUCUUUGACAUUUACCUCACUUUAAAAUUGAAGAAGAUAGGAGGAGACACC